UGUGUAGGCGGUGGCUUAAGUUUGGUGUGAAAUCUCCCGGCUCAACUGGGAGGGUGCGCCGAAUACUGAGUUGCUCGAGUGCGGGAGAGGAGAGUGGAAUUCCUGGUGUAGCGGUGAAAUGCGUAGAUAUCAGGAGGAACACCGGUGGUGUAGACGGCUCUCUGGACCGUAACUGACGCUGAGACACGAAAGCGUGGGUAGCAAACA
rnacentral:rRNA from 1 species